rnacentral:rRNA from 1 species
CUAUACAUGCAGUAGAACGCUGAAGAGAGGAGCUUGCUCUUCUUGGAUGAGUUGCGAACGGGUGAGUAACGCGUAGGUAACCUGCCUUGUAGCGGGGGAUAACUAUUGGAAACGAUAGCUAAUACCGCAUAACAAUGGAUGACACAUGUCAUUUAUUUGAAAGGGGCAAUUGCUCCACUACAAGAUGGACCUGCGUUGUAUUAGCUAGUAGGUGAGGUAAUGGCUCACCUAGGCGACGAUACAUAGCCGACCUGAGAGGGUGAUCGGCCACACUGGGACUGAGACACGGCCCAGACUCCUACGGGAGGCAGCAGUAGGGAAUCUUCGGCAAUGGGGGCAACCCUGACCGAGCAACGCCGCGUGAGUGAAGAAGGUUUUCGGAUCGUAAAGCUCUGUUGUAAGUCAAGAACGGGUGUGAGAGUGGAAAGUUCACACUGUGACGGUAGCUUACCAGAAAGGGACGGCUAACUACGUGCCAGCAGCCGCGGUAAUACGUAGGUCCCGAGCGUUGUCCGGAUUUAUUGGGCGUAAAGCGAGCGCAGGCGGUUUGAUAAGUCUGAAGUUAAAGGCUGUGGCUCAACCAUAGUUCGCUUUGGAAACUGUCAAACUUGAGUGCAGAAGGGGAGAGUGGAAUUCCAUGUGUAGCGGUGAAAUGCGUAGAUAUAUGGAGGAACACCGGUGGCGAAAGCGGCUCUCUGGUCUGUAACUGACGCUGAGGCUCGAAAGCGUGGGGAGCGAACAGGAUUAGAUACCCUGGUAGUCCACGCCGUAAACGAUGAGUGCUAGGUGUUGGAUCCUUUCCGGGAUUCAGUGCCGCAGCUAACGCAUUAAGCACUCCGCCUGGGGAGUACGACCGCAAGGUUGAAACUCAAAGGAAUUGACGGGGGCCCGCACAAGCGGUGGAGCAUGUGGUUUAAUUCGAAGCAACGCGAAGAACCUUACCAGGUCUUGACAUCCCGAUGCUAUUUCUAGAGAUAGAAAGUUACUUCGGUACAUCGGUGACAGGUGGUGCAUGGUUGUCGUCAGCUCGUGUCGUGAGAUGUUGGGUUAAGUCCCGCAACGAGCGCAACCCCUAUUGUUAGUUGCCAUCAUUCAGUUGGGCACUCUAGCGAGACUGCCGGUAAUAAACCGGAGGAAGGUGGGGAUGACGUCAAAUCAUCAUGCCCCUUAUGACCUGGGCUACACACGUGCUACAAUGGUUGGUACAACGAGUUGCGAGUCGGUGACGGCGAGCUAAUCUCUUAAAGCCAAUCUCAGUUCGGAUUGUAGGCUGCAACUCGCCUACAUGAAGUCGGAAUCGCUAGUAAUCGCGGAUCAGCACGCCGCGGUGAAUACGUUCCCGGGCCUUGUACACACCGCCCGUCACACCACGAGAGUUUGUAACACCCGAAGUCGGUGAGGUAACCUUUUGGAGCCAGCCGCGU